rnacentral:rRNA from 1 species
AACAAACGCUGGCGGCGGGCCUAAUACAUGCAAGUCGAACGGGGAAAGCUUUCGGGUGAGUACUAGUGGCGCCGGGGUGAGGAACGCGUGGAUAAUCUGCCUUAGGGUGGGGGUUAAUUAGUCGAAAGAUUAGCUAAUACCGCAUAAGACCACGAAGGCUGCGGCUUUUGAGGUCAAAGGUUUUUCGCUCUAAGAUGAGUCCGCGUAAGAUUAGCUAGUUGGUGAGGUAACGGCUCACCAAGGCGACGAUCUUUAACUGGUCUGAGAGGAUGAUCAGUCACACUGGAACUGAGACACGGUCCAGACUCCUGCGGGAGGCAGCAGUAGGGAAUAUUGCACAAUGGAGGAAACUCUGAUGCAGCGACGCCGCGUGAGUGAUGAAGGCCUUCGGGUCGUAAAGCUCUGUCGCAGGGGAAUAACACAAUGAAGGUACCCUGUAAGAAAGGAUCGGCUAACUUCGUG